UACAGAGGUCUCAAGCGUUGUUCGGAUUCAUUGGGCGUAAAGGGCUCGUAGGCGGUUUGUCGCGUCGGGAGUGAAAACCAGGUGCUUAACACCUGGCUUGCUUUCGAUACGGGCAGACUAGAGGUAUUCAGGGGAGAACGGAAUUCCUGGUGUAGCGGUGAAAUGCGCAGAUAUCAGGAGGAACACCGGUGGCGAAGGCGGUUCUCUGGGAAUGACCUGACGCUGAGGAGCGAAAGUGUGGGGAGCGAACAGG
rnacentral:rRNA from 1 species